CCUACGGGUGGCAGCAGUGGGGAAUAUUGGGCAAUGGGGGCAACCCUGAUCCAGCGACGCCGCGUGAGUGAAGAAGUCCUUCGGUAUGUAAAGCUCUAUCAGCAGGGAAGAAAAUGACGGUACCUGAGUAAGAAUCCCCGUCUAACUACGUUCCAGCAGCGGCGGUAAUACGGAGGCGGCAAGCGUUAUCCGGAUUUACGGGGUGUAAAGGGAGCGUAGACGGCGGGGCAAGUCUGGUGUGAAAGGCUGGGGCUCAACCCCCGGACUGCACUGGAAACUGUACGGCUGGAGUGCAGGAGAGGUAAGUGGAAUUCCUAGUGUAGCGGUGAAAUGCGUAGAUAUUAGGAGGAACACCAGUGGCGAAGGCGGCUUACUGGACUGUAACUGACGUUGAGGCUCGAAAGCGUGGGGAGCAAACAGGAUUAGAUACCCCGGUAGUC
rnacentral:rRNA from 1 species